UAAUAGUGUAUAUUAAAGUUGUUGCAGUUAAAAAGCUCGUAGUUGAAUUUCUGGCCAGAGCUAGUGUUGGCUUCGGUCAUGCUAGUUUUGGUCAUCCGUUUGCAAACCGUAUUCAUCCUUCACUGGUUGGUGCGGGGAGUAAACAUUUUACCUUGAAAAAAUUAGAGUGUUUCAGGCAGGCUUUUGCCAGAAUACAUUAGCAUGGAAUAAUGGAAUAGGACUCGUCCAUUUUGUUGGUUAUUGGAUCUGAGUAAUGAUUAAUAGGGACAGUUGGGGGCAUUAGUAUCUAAUUGUCAGAGGUGAAAUUCUUGGAUUUAUUAAAGACUAACUUAUGCGAAAGCAUUUGCCAAGGAUGUUUUCAUUAA
rnacentral:rRNA from 1 species